rnacentral:rRNA from 1 species
CCCUUAGAUGUUCUGGGCCGCACGCGCGCUACACUGAUGCAUUCAACGAGUCUAAAACCUGGUCUGAUAGGGCUGGGUAAUCUUUUGAAGGUGCAUCGUGAUUGGGAUAGAUGAUUGCAAUUCUUCAUCUUCAACGAGGAAUGCCUAGUAAACGCAAGUCAUCAGCUUGCAUUGAUUACGUCCCUGCCCUUUGUACACACCGCCCGUCGCUCCUACCGAUUGAAUGAUCCGAUGAAUACCAUGGAUUGAGAGUACGAAUGGGUUCGCUCAUUUCUGCUGCUCGAGAAGUGGAGUAAAUCUUAUCAUUUAGAGGAAGGAGAAGUCGUAACA